UUCCCCCUUAGAGUUUGAUCCUGGCUCAGAGCGAACGCUGGCGGCAGGCUUAACACAUGCAAGUCGAACGGGCCCCUUCGGUGGUCAGUGGCAGACGGGUGAGUAACACGUGGGAACGUGCCCUUUGGUUCGGAACAACUGCGGGAAACUGGAGCUAAUACCGGAUAAGCCCUUCGGGGGAAAGAUUUAUCGCCAAAGGAUCGGCCCGCGUCUGAUUAGCUAGUUGGUGAGGUAAUGGCUCACCAAGGCGACGAUCAGUAGCUGGUCUGAGAGGAUGAUCAGCCACACUGGGACUGAGACACGGCCCACACUCCUACGGGAGGCAGCAGUGGGGAAUAUUGGACAAUGGGCGAAAGCCUGAUCCAGCCAUGCCGCGUGAGUGAUGAAGGCCUUAGGGUUGUAAAGCUCUUUCGGCGGGGACGAUAAUGACGGUACCCGCAAAAGAAGCCCCGGCUAACUUCGUGCCAGCAGCCGCGGUAAUACGAAGGGGGCUAGCGUUGCUCGGAAUCGCUGGGCGUAGAGGGCGCGUACGCGUAUCUUUAAGUCGGGGGGUGAAAGCCCAGGGCUCAACCCUGGAAUUGCCUUCGAUACUGAAGAUCUCGAGACCGGAAGAGGUGAGUGGAACUGCGAGUGUAGAGGUGAAAUUCGUAGAUAUUCGCAAGAACACCAGUGGCGAAGGCGGCUCACUGGUUCUGGUUCUGACGCUGAG
rnacentral:rRNA from 1 species